AUGCAAGUCGUGGGGCAGCGGAUGCUUAGCUUGCUAAGUAUGCCGGCGACCGGCGCACGGGUGAGUAACGCGUACCGAACCUGCCCAUCACACAGGGAUAGGCUUGCGAAAGCAAGAUUAAUACCUGAUGGUCUCAGUUGUAUGCAUGUAUGAUUGAGUAAAGCCUUCGGGCGGUGAUGGAUGGCGGUGCGUCCCAUUAGGAAGUUGGCGGGGUAACGGCCCACCAAUCCUUCGAUGGGUAGGGGCUCUGAGAGGAAGGUCCCCCACAUUGGAACUGAGAUACGGUCCAAACUCCUACGGGAGGCAGCAGUGAGGAAUAUUGGUCAAUGGGCGAGAGCCUGAACCAGCCAAGUAGCGUGCGGGAUGAAGGCCCUUGUGGUCGUAAACCGCUUUUAUCAGUGAAUAAAGUGCACCACGUGUGGUGUCAUUGCAGGUAGCUGAAGAAAAAGGACCGGCUAAUUCCGUGCCAGCAGCCGCGGUAAUACGGAAGGUCCGGGCGUUAUCCGGAAUUAUUGGGUUUAAAGGGAGCGCAGGCGGGAGUAUAAGUCAGCUGUUAAAUAUCAGAGCCCAACUCUGUUAUGCAGUUGAAACUAUAUUUCUUGAGUACGCACAGGGAUGGCGGAAUUCAGGGUGUAGCGGUGAAAUGCUUAGACAUCCUGAAGAACUCCGAUCGCGAAGGCAGCCAUCCGGAGCGUAACUGACGC
rnacentral:rRNA from 1 species